rnacentral:rRNA from 1 species
UACGGAGGGUGCAAGCGUUAAUCGGAAUUACUGGGCGUAAAGCGUGCGCAGGCGGUUUGUUAAGUCCGUUGUGAAAGCCCCGAGCUCAACUUGGGAAUUGCAGUGGAUACUGGCAGGCUGGAGUACGGUAGAGGAAGGUGGAAUUCCCGGUGUAGCAGUGAAAUGCGUAGAGAUGUGGAGGAACACCAGUGGCGAAGACGACUUUCUGGCCUAUAACUGACGCUGAGGCGCGAAAGCGUGGGGAGCAAACAGG